UUUCCGUAGGUGAACCUGCGGAAGGAUCAUUAUCGAGUUAGGGUCUCUGGCCUGACCUCCAACCCUGUGUCUAUUAUCCCAUGUUGCUUUGGCGGGCCCGCGUUUGUCGCCGCCGAGGGGUUGACCCCCCUGGGCCAGGGCCCGCCGAUAGCCCCCUCUUAAACUCUUGAUCAACCGUGAAUGUCCUAGUAAAAAAAAAAUCAAGCACAAAACUUUCAACAACGGAACUCUUGGUUCUG
rnacentral:misc_RNA from 1 species